GACAGAGGGUGCAAGCGUUGUUCGGAUUUACUGGGCGUAAAGGGCGCGUAGGCGGCCCUCCUAGUCGCGUGUGAAGGCCCCGGGCUCAACCUGGGAAUUGCGCGCGAAACGGGGGGGCUUGAGUUCGGGAGAGGAGCGUGGAAUUCCCAGUGUAGAGGUGAAAUUCGUAGAUAUUGGGAAGAACACCGGUGGCGAAGGCGGCGCUCUGGACCGAGACUGACGCUGAGGCGCGAAAGCGUGGGGAGCAAACAGG
rnacentral:rRNA from 1 species